AAUGUAUUGAAGUGACAAAAUGGGCAAAUGAUGAAAUGGAGAUCAAACUUGAUGUGGCAUUUCGAAUGAAGGUAGAUGCAAUUGAUGCAAUGAAAUCUCGUGUCACAUAUGGUGAUUGAGUGUUUGUUGUCGACUUGGAACAAAAUAUGUGCACAUGUAAUGAAUUUCAACUAGAGGGAAUUCCAUGUGCACAUGCUAUUGCAACAAUUGAAAGCAAGUACUUGGACAAGUACAAAUUUUGCUCAAAUUGGUAUAGAAAUUCUGUUUUGAAAGAGA